rnacentral:rRNA from 1 species
CGCGUAGGCGGGAAUGCAAGUCAGAUGUGAAAUCUCCGGGCUCAACCCGGAAACUGCAUUUGAAACUGUAUUUCUUGAGUGAUGGAGAGGCAAGUGGAAUUCCUAGUGUAGCGGUGAAAUGCGUAGAUAUUAGGAGGAACACCAGUGGCGAAGGCGACUUGCUGGACAUUAACUGACGCUGAGGCGCGAAAGCGUGGGGAGCAAACA